AGCACAGCAGUAGCAAUACUGUGGGUGGCGAGUGGCGGACGGGUGAGUAAUGCAUCGGGAUCUACCCUGACGUGGGGGAUAACCUCGGGAAACCGGGACUAAUACCGCAUACGUCCUACGGGAGAAAGCGGGGGACCUUCGGACCUCGCGCGGCAGGACGAACCGAUGUGCGAUUAGCUAGUUGGCGGGGUAAUGGCCCACCAAGGCGACGAUCGCUAGCUGGUCUGAGAGGAUGAUCAGCCACACUGGGACUGAGACACGGCCCAGACUCCUACGGGAGGCAGCAGUGGGGAAUAUUGGACAAUGGGCGCAAGCCUGAUCCAGCAAUGCCGCGUGUGUGAAGAAGGCCUUCGGGUUGUAAAGCACUUUUAUCAGGAGCGAAAUACCACGGGUUAAUACCCUAUGGGGCUGACGGUACCUGAGGAAUAAGCACCGGCUAACUUCGUGCCAGCAGCCGCGGUAAUACGAAGGGUGCAAGCGUUAAUCGGAAUUACUGGGCGUAAAGGGUGCGUAGGCGGUUACUUAAGUCUGUCGUGAAAUCCCCGGGCUCAACCUGGGAAUGGCGAUGGAUACUGGGUGGCUAGAGUGUGUCAGAGGAUGGUGGAAUUCCCGGUGUAGCGGUGAAAUGCGUAGAGAUCGGGAGGAACAUCAGUGGCGAAGGCGGCCAUCUGGGACAACACUGACGC
rnacentral:rRNA from 1 species